AAGUACCGUGAAGGUAGACAAAACAGUGUAAGAAGAUAGAAACCGAAACCAGGGCAGUAAAGGAGAAGGCUGGGCAGCGAAGAGAGAAAACAGCCCUGUUUAUGAGAAAGCGCUUUGCCGGGGAAAGGAGCGACAGGCAAAGGCCUUUCAAGAAGUUCAAAAUGACCGCUGUGUGGACCAGGUGCGCUAGGUGAAGUCUGAGAGGUAGCCAGGGGCUAGGUCCUGUUGGAUUUUAUUCUAAGAAAAAUGGGAAGUAUCAGAGGGAUGAUGGGCUGUGUCUUAAGUUUUCGAAAGAUCCCUCUGGCUGCUGAGUGUGAAUAGACCAGAGGAGAGUUGUGAGGAUAAGGAGGUCGUAAGGGUGGAAGCAAAGAGAUUGUAGAGUAGAAGGUGGUUGCAGGUGAUGAAUUGGAUGCCAGUGUGGCUAAGGCGAAACGAGCUAGGAGAAGAAUGAUAAGUAGCCAUGGGCCAGACCAGAUAGGACCUUGUACGUCAUGGAGUUCUUUCCCAGAGAGUUGGGAGGCCUGGGGAAGAGUAAGGUGGUCCCACUUAAGAUUUACAAGGAAUACUCAGGUUGCCGUGUGUGAAUAGACCGGAGGGCCGAGAACGGAGGCGGGCAGAGAGUGCAGUUAGGAAGCUGUAACGGGGAUGGAGGGAGACGAUGGGUUAGACUACAGUGGAGGUGGUAGAAGUAGGGUAGCAUUGGGGAUCUAAUUUGUAGAGCCAACGGUUGUCGACGAAAAUUCAAUUAACUAUGAAGUUAAGAAGAAAAAAAGGGAUUUUAUUCGGGCCAAACUGAGGAUUAUCACCUGGGAAGCAGAUUCUCAGAAAGCUCUGAGAGCUCUUCCUCCUGUUAGAAGUCGAAGGUAUAGUCUGUACACUUUUGAGACAAAGGAUCGUACAUCAAAAUGACAUACUGAUGUUUUACUUAACGUUCAGCAAGGAUACAUAGUCCAGGGCCUUGCUAAUGUGAUGUGGAGUAUGUGUGAAAGGAUGGUGGUACUGUUUACUGAGACGGGGAACCCUGCGGGAGGAGCACAUUCAGCAGAGGCGUCGUUGGGAGUGAGCUCCAGAUUUUCUGCUGGACACUGGUAGAGACCAAAUGCCAGACCCCAUGUGAGUGUGUGAGCUGAUCUGGGUUUAGCGUGCUCCACUGAGCCACGUGCCACACUCCACCAUCGAGGGGAGGUCGAUGUGGACGAUGCUAUCAGCCUUGAGCAGGUCCCGGAAGCACAAGUGGGUGUUCAGUUUUCCCAACAUCAUUUGCUGAAAAGACUGUCCUUUCACCAUCGAGUGGUCUUGGUACUCCUGCUGAAAAUCAUUUGACCUUGUAUGCGAGGGUUUAUUCCUGGGCUCUCUAUUCUAUUCUGUUUGUUAGUGUGUCUGUCUUUAUGCCAGUACCAACACUGUUUUGAUUAUGACAGCUUUAUAUUAAGGUUUGAAAUGAAGAAAUGUGAGACUUCCAACUUUGUUCUUCUUUUUAAAGAUGAUUUUGGCUAUUCAGAGUCCCUUGAGAUUCCGUGUGAAUUGUAGGAUGAAUUUUUCUGUUUCUACAAAAACAAGUCAUUGGCUGAUGCAUGAUUUUAACUUGGGGGUAUAGUAAUCAUGGAAGCAGUGAAGAGGCAGUUCAGACAAGAAUUUCUGGUGUUUCUGAAUGGCAUGGUAACAUUGGACAUACAGAAACCUGGAGGGAUUUGGGAAGUGUUUGGAUGGUGAAAUCGAUAGGAUUUGGUGAUAGAUUGGAUGUGAGUGAGAGGAGGGAAAAAGGAAUCAAGAAUGAUUCCUUGGUUGUAGAUUAGAGCAAACGGUGGUGCCCAUUUCUGGGAUGGAAAGAAUGGAGAAAGAACAGGUUUGGGAACCAGGGGUGUCAAGAGUUCAUUUGAGGGCACAGAUGGCUGGCAGACAGCCAGAUGGAAAGAAAGGCAGCUAUACCAUGGACACCCAAGCUUGGGGCACAGGGGAGACUGCAGGGCUGGGGAGAGAAAUAUGAGUGUCAGUACUGGAUGGGUGAUGUGUAGAGCCCAGAGGCUGGUCAGGCGACCAAGGAAAGAGAGUAGCUGGAGAAGGGAGGUCCAAGAAGCCAACCAACCUGGUUAUUCGGCGCUUGGGGCCCGGAGGAGGAGGAGUCAGCAAAGGUGGCUGCAAGCUCCUGGGGAGAUUGUGCGCAAGCAUGGACACACCCAGGGGCCCACCCGGGGGCCGCGCUCCUCCAUGACUCUGCGUCCUGGGCUGGUGCCCUGUGGCUGCACGGAGGCGCCCCUCAGGAUCUGAGGAGGCAGCGGGGCAGCAGGACCAACUGGGCAGCAUCCUCCUUAGCCUCAGGGUUGGGAAGUCCCAGCCACCUAUGAGCCCACUUCUGGCCACCGCUGUCCACCAGGCCCCCCGCAUGUCCCUUCUUCAUGCCUCUCCACCCCCCUGAAGGCUUUCCUUACCGCCUCCCCUGUGUGCCCCCCUCCUCUGGCUGACCCCAUGUGUGGCCCCUGUCCAGGCAGCUGGAGCCUGUGGAGCCCCUGCAGACAGUCAGUGUGCUUUAUUCAUCUUUGUUUUCCCAGGGCCCAGUAUUGAGCCUGGAACAUGGGUCUCUGGAUGGAGAGAUUAAGGGGUAAUUUUAAAAUUAUUUUUUCACUACUGUUCUAAUUUCUAUACCCUGAGCAUGUAUUAUUUGUGUAAUUAUUAAAAAUAACAAAAGAUUAAAAAACACCCAGAGGGACUUCCGUGGUGGCACAGUGGUUAAGAACCCGCCUGCCAAUGCAGGGGACACGGGUUCAAGCUCUGGUCCGGGAAGAUCCCACAUGCCGCGGAGCAGCAAAGCCCGUGAGCCACAACUACUGAAGCCCGCGCGCCUAGAGCCUUGCUCCGCAACAAGAGAAGCCACCGCAAUGAGAAGCCCGCGCACCGCAACGAAGAGUGGCCCCCGCUUGCGACAACUAGGGAAAGCCUGUGUGCAGCAACGAAGACCCAACGCAGCCAAAAAUAAAUAAAUAAAUAAAUAAAUUUAAAAACCACCCAGAGCAGUGGAAUAAACAUUGGUUUGAAAAUAACAAAAGCAAAGUGCGUUCACUCAUGCGCUCCGUAGUGACCGAUUGAGUUCCCCUGGUGGGCAGCACUGGGCCAGGGGCUGAGGGUGUGCACUGUGCAAGAAGAGGCACGGUCGAGUGGUUCCCAGUGUUGCAGAGAGUGUUUAGCAACCGCCGCUCUCCCAGGAUGCUGCUGACGAAGUAAUAUGGUACAGACACUUUGGAAAACAGGUGGGCAGCUCUUAAAAAGUUAGCCAUAUUAUUACACGUGACCCAACAGUUCCAGUCCCAAUAUUUAUCCAAAGAAACAAAUGCAUAUGUCCACACAGAUGAUUGUUCCUGAAUGUCCAUAUCAGCUUUAUUCAUAAUGACUCAAGAUGGAACCGACCCAAAUGGCCACAAACAGAUGGAGUGUAACAAAUGGCGGCUCAUCCGUACAAGGGACUUAGCAAUAAACAGAGAACCACUGAGCCGCACAGCAACCUGGCUGAGGCUCAGAAGCGUUAUGCUACAGAAAAAAAGCCAGACGCAGAAGAGGACAUACUGCAUGACUCCACCUAUGUGAAAUUUCAGAUCAGACAAGACGAAUUUAUAGUGACAGAAAACAGAUCCUUGGUUGCCUGCCAGGGUGGGGACGGGGCUGGCCGCAGGGAGCGUGGUGGAAGCGUUGUGUAUCUUGCUUGUGAUGGUUGGUUACAAGGG